rnacentral:rRNA from 1 species
UACGUAGGGGGCAAGCGUUGUCCGGAAUCAUUGGGCGUAAAGAGCGCGUAGGCGGUCCGGUAAGUCGGUUGUGAAAACUGGGGGCUCAACCCUCAGAGGCCGACCGAUACUGCCGGGCUAGAGUCCGGAAGAGGCGAGUGGAAUUCCUGGUGUAGCGGUGAAAUGCGCAGAUAUCAGGAGGAACACCAAUGGCGAAGGCAGCUCGCUGGGACGGUACUGACGCUGAGGCGCGAAAGCGUGGGGAGCAAACAGGAUUAGAUACCCUGGUAGUCCACGCCGUAAACGAUGGGCACUAGGUGUGGGAGGUGUCGACUCCUCCCGUGCCGAAGCUAACGCAUUAAGUGCCCCGCCUGGGGAGUACGGCCGCAAGGCUAAA